UGGUGCACAGUCGGCGCCAUAAUCAGAUUCAAAGAGCGGCCUCUUCUUUUGAUCAGCAGCUGGUCCGCAGGAAUGGCUGACGGCUGCUGACAACGUCAAACCUCACUACAGCUGGGACCCACUGACGCACCCUGCUACUCCUCCGUCCCACUGACAGAGGUGUGCUCCCUCCUCUCUCCCGCGUCUAGCAGUGUGCAGGCCCCGGAUAGCCGCCUCCCUCCAGUGCAGUGCCUCCGGCUGUCCCAAUCCCUAUGAUGCCGGUGGACAGCACAUUUCACAGUUCAAGCUUGAGGCUUCUCUCACAAACAAGCAAAUAAAUAAACAAUAAUCAUUGCACUGCAAUGCAGGAGGACUGCCAGGCAGACCCAUCGCAGUGCACUGAUUAUUGUUUAUUUAUUUGUGAGAGAAGCCUCAAGCUUGAACUGUGAUCUGUGCUGCCGCGGCACAGCUCCGUGCAGCCCUUUCAUGUUCCAAGCAGUGCAGGGGACCAGACACUCACUGCACUACUCAUCGGCAGGAACUCCGUCUUCCUCAGCUCCAGUCCACAGCUGCCAGUGCCUCCCAUCAUUACACAGUGGACGAUGAGGGUGCUGCUACAGGAGCUCGGAGUUGUUGCGCUGCUGUUCGGGAUCUUUCUGUGUCCACCUGGCAAAGACAUUCUCAAAGACUCCAUUGCUGGCAUAUCCUAAUACAGAUUGAUGAGCAAGAGUAUCAGAGAGAGGUGCCAUUAAUGAUGUGCUGCAGCAGUAAUGUGUGAAUCCUGUGCUCCUGACGUCUCCUCAUCUCUCAUAAACUUCAUUUUAACAGGCUUUGUAAUGAUUGUGCAUAGGAGACUUAACAUGAAAAUAAGUUCUGAACAGGAAACAGUUUAUUUUUAUGAUAUAUGUAGUAUUAUGCACAUCAGUUACAUUUGAUAUGCAGUUCUCAUAAUGACAUCAUUUUGGCUGCUUCUUGGAGUCAUGAAUUAUGCUCCACAAAGAAAAAAAAUACUGCUGUUAUAUAUUGGAAUAAAGGUUGCCUUGUUCUAUCGUUUUUCUUGCACUUAUAAAGUGCCAGAUGAUGGAGUUAAACAGUGGAGUUUUGUUGUGCAAGUUACUGUGUGUACAUUUCAUUUUAUUUCAGGCGUUGCCAAUUAAUUUAUGUACACUGAACAUCAAAGAGCUGCAAAGUUGAGAUUGAUCCCUGGUUGUAACAUACUCCCACAUUGCUAAUUAUAAAAACAAUUGUUGGCUUUUAAUCUAUGAUGAGCUUUGCAAGUACAAACAAUAUUAUAUGUGGAAGUUAGUCAAAAGAACGGAUAUUGGUCAGUGAAGCUGUGGCUAGCAUAGCUAGGUGGAUCAGAAGUGAUCUGAUAAGCUUGCUUUUGAUCUUUGAACAGUAGCUAUUAACGUAUGCUGUACCUAUUGCUGGGUCACAUGAAAUGUCAAUCGGUUGUGUGCGCACAAGGAAUACACAGCUCAUGGAAUGUUUAAAUGUAAUUUAAAGCAAACACCACAACUAAAUAGGAGUAUCACUUAACACAGGUGGCCUUUUCUCCUAUGUGAAUUUCCAUUAUUUCAAAUAAACCUUAAAAUACUAGCGUCAAUAUAUAUUGCGGAUGCAAGGUGCAUCUUAUUACCAAAUACGUUAAUAGUGCGCUAAAUGUUGCAGCACUAUGUCCCUUAAGAGAAAGUAAGUACUCACACAUGGUAUACUGAGGUCCAACGCUCAGAGAUAUAUAUAUUUGAUAUUAAAAGUUAUGCAUACACAAUAACAUAUGUACAGUAUAUCAUUCAGUAUAAUACAUAUAUAUAUAUAUAUAUAUAUAUAUAUAUAUGCCUAGGUAAGUGGUACAGAAUUACAGUUACAAAAGAAACAGAUACAGCCAGUAUAUAUCACCCUAUCCCAUAGGACCUUCUUCCAUUUCUUCCUCUCAGCUACUAACUAACUAUGCCUUAGAAAACUGCAUAUAUCAAACAGUGGGAGUUAACAGGUUGUUGGUUUCGGUCUCCUUCCAUUUGCCCAGGAGAGGGAGGUUUCUCAUUCAUUGUGUGUUAUUGGUCAGUUCAUAUAUAAGCAAUGUCCAGCUUGAAGAUGCAGAUACAGGUGUUAACCACUGGGAUUCUGCCCACAUGUUUUCUCAGGAAUUCCUUUGUUCUCAUAGAAUGUAACUUUAGAUUUAUACAUUUGUUCAUAGCUAAUCGAUAGCUAAUGGUUGUAAUGUGCUACAAUUUACCCAUAGCUAUCAAAUUAAUCCACACAUCCUCCUGACCAUUUUGACACUAAGAAUGAUAUACUUAACUUGUUCCAUCCCAAUAAUACAUAUAUAUUUGGUUUUACACUCUAUUAUAUAAAUACAAUAUAAUACAA